UAGGGAAUAUUGCACAAUGGAGGAAACUCUGAUGCAGCAACGCCGCGUGAGUGAAGAAGGCCCUUGGGUCGUAAAGCUCUUUAGCCUGGAAAGAAGUGCCAUCCUGUUAAUAAUUGGGUGGUGUGACGGUACCAGGAGAAUAAGGACCGGCUAAUUUCGUGCCAGCAGCCGCGGUAAUACGAAAGGUCCAAGCGUUACUCGGAAUUACUGGGCGUAAAGCGCGCGUAGGCGGCUUUGUAUGUCGAUUGUGAAAGCCCCGGGCUCAACCUGGGAACUGCAGUCGAAACUGCAAAGCUUGAAUGUUGGAGAGGUUGGGGGAAUACCUAGUGGAGAAGUGAAAUUCGUAGAGAUUAGGUGGAACACCAGAGGCGAAGGCGCCUGACUGGCCAAACAUUGACGCUGAGGCGCGAAAGCGUGGGUAGCAAACAGG
rnacentral:rRNA from 1 species